rfam:Rattus norvegicus chromosome 12, whole genome shotgun sequence.
AGCAGUCAGAAAUGAACUUGCUCAUAAAAGUACAGUAGCAGUGAGCAGUAAGUCUGUAAUUUUAUGUAUGAGCUGGUUUCUGACUAAA